rnacentral:rRNA from 1 species
AGAGAGAGACAUGCGCGCAUAUCAAUAAGCGGAGGAAAAGAAACUAACAAGGAUUCCCUAGUAACGGCGAGUGAAGCGGGAAGAGCUCAAAUUUGAAAUCUUAAAGGUUUUCCCUUGACGAAUUGUAGUUUAAAGAAGUGUUUUCUGUUGAAGUUUCGGUAAAAGUUCUUUGGAAUAGGACAUCAUAGAGGGUGAGAAUCCCGUAUUUGACCUUUACUUUCAACUUUGUGAUACACUUUCAAAGAGUCGGAUUGUUUGGGAAUGCAGUCCAAAAUGGGUGGUAAAUUUCAUCUAAAGCUAAAUAUUGGCGAGAGACCGAUAGCGAACAAGUACCGUGAGGGAAAGAUGAAAAGAACUUUGAAAAGAGAGUUAAACAGUACGUGAAAUUGUCAAAAGGGAAGCGUUUGACACCAGUGUUGUUUUUCUGAAAAUCAAUUAAAGAACUGUUUAUGCUAAGUUGUUUAGACUUUAUCAGCUAACUGUUUAGUUUUGAGCUUUUCUUUAAUGCACUUUUCAGUUAACAAGUCAACAUCAAUUUCUUUUGCUGUAAAAAAGCUUGAGGAAGGUGGCUUGAGAUUCGUCUUAAGUGUUUAUAGCCUCUUGCCUAUGCAGUCGGAGAGAUUGAGGUCUGCAGCGUAGAUCCUUCGGGGCUAAAUGCAUUUGUGCUAAGUUAUAGCAUUUUAUAGACAACUUGUUGACUAUGAUUUGUCUUGUAGCUUACUCGCCUAUGUUAUUUUACCUACGCUUAGGAUGUUGAGCGCAUGUCUCUCUCU